UGCUGGCAAAAGGACCACAGGGAAAAUGUAACCACUUUGUGCUCGAGUCCAGACGGCUGCUGAGAGGAAUUAUUGGCGUCCAUGUCUCGGAGUCGGAGGUUUCCUUUAUAUCAGCUACGGCGCCGGUGUCAUGUCCACAGGUCGGCACCCCGCUAGACCAUACCACCCAUUAACAGUCGCGCAAGGGGCGGUCGAUGGGCGUGUCCACGUCAUUCUUGAUUUUACUGUAUGGUAUAGAAACUUGUUUUUUUUUGUAAGAAACCUCCCCAGAUAACGCCUCGCCGCAAUCGAGCCCCACGCACACGCGCCGCCGCCGUCAUCUCCCUUCGCAGGCACGUCUCUUCCUUCACUCGAUUUCCCUGAUCCCCUUCUCGCACAUUGCCUCCUCCCAUUCCUUCCCCCCUUACUCGCACGGAGGUGGCUGCAGGAGAUGCGUGGCAGAGGAGGUUCGUGCAGGGGGUGAUGGUGGUGGGAGUGGGGAGUAAGAAAGAGCAUGGAGGCGGCGGCGGCUAGGAAGAGCGUGUGCGUGACCAGCGCAGGAGGCUUCAUCGCCUCGUGGCUCAUCAAGCUCCUCCUCUCCAAGGGCCACUAAAUGGUCCGCGGAUCCGUCCAUCCCAGCCCCUCGAAGAUCCAACCUCAGCUCAUGCUCGCGCUGCUCCCACCCCACGACGCCGUCUGCGUCGAACUGAAAGCCCACGGAGGACGGGGACGAGGUCAGGGUGGAGAUGUGGAUCAUUUUCUUUGGAUCCCCAACUGAAGAGUUUGAAGGAGUUUCUGCAGAGCACCUAGAUGUCAAUGAAUGUGCGUAGAGUCCAGGCCCCUGCCAUGGCUCUGCAACUUGCCACAACACAGUUGGAGGGUUCCAUUGUUCAUGCCCUUUUGUCACCAGUUUUGCUAAGGAAACAAACUCCUGCGCCAAUCAGUUUAUAAGUCAGGAGUUGAGCAGGGCACAAUCUGUGGCAGGACCGCAUUCUCCCACUCCUUUGUCUCAAAGCAAAAGAAGCUCGCUGCCUUUGCCUGGAGAGAGCAGAAGUUUCUUUUAUCUAAUCCAAGAUGAUCUAUUCAUGAUUAAAACAGUGAGGAAAUCAGAAGUCGAGUGCAAGGGCUGCAUUUCCUUAUAAAGCUUUUUAAUGGGUUGAGGUAAGUGCGGGAUGGAUGAAACUGCUCAGUACCGUCUAAUCUGGCAAUCUGGAUUAUGAUCGGUUCAACUAUUUUGUGGUUCCAGUUCUACUAAUUGAAGCCGGUGAGUUGGUGUAUGCUUGACGUGAGUCUGGUUCUCGCUUCAAUUCCCCCUGUUUCACCUCCAGAUCUACUCAUCGGGAGAUGGAUUCCUUGCAGUGAGAGGCUGGUCUGACGCUGUUGUUGAUAAUCAUCCAUACCUAUUCUGGACAUGGACGAAGUACACACAUGUACACACAGCUUUUUUUGAUCCGUUGCAUAUCAAAGCUUCAUUCAGACGAUGGACUGUCUUGCUCUACUUCGAAAUCAAAACAGGUGAGUCGUGUCCUUUUUAGGAUUUAACCAACUGAACUGAAACCAAGAUACAGUUGCUGCAGCACUAUUGAGCAAAUUGUACAGGGGAAAGACAGGCGGCUGAUGCAGAACAAGGGAAGGAGUAGCAGCUAUCUGCUGUUUCAGUUGUUUAUGUGCGCUGAAGAUUGUUCAUACCCGUACCCUGAAGAAAGAAGGCAAAAUAAUCCAUAACUAUUUCUUGAUAAUAAAGUACAUAGACAUAGAUAUAUAGCUCAAUGGCUCCAUCACGUUAGUUUGCUAAAUAAGUUAUAUGGAUCC